UAUGGAUGGACAUUUAAACUUUGCUAAAACAACAAAGCUGGUGAUAGUGUCCCAAGACUUUUGCACAGUAAUGUAUAUUGACCAAGAGUUGUAAUGAUCAAAACAAAUGCAUGUCGUCUAUUAUUUUCUUUAAAUGCACAUUUAUUCACAGUUCAGUAGGACAGUAAAUUAUCUGAAAGUGAAAUCAUUAUUGAAGGUGAUAUCAUUGUCACUGCAUUCAUUGUUACAUGAUUUUAAACAGUGGGAAUCAUUGUGUAAGUUUCUUAAUAAUAUCAAAUACUACUUUUUUGUCUUGUUGUUUCUAGACCUGAGGAUAAGAUUUCCAGUUUGAAAGUGAAGAAAAUGAAUCAUUAUUAACAGCAAUUAGUAGUUUUUCAGCUGAGAAGCCAGGUGAAACUAUAAGGACACUAUGAUUUACUUUCAUAUUAUCAUUCUUUUAUAGAUGAGGAGCAACCAGUAAGAAAAAGCAAAAAGAUGUUUUGAUGUUGCCUGAGGCACCUUAUUCACACCAGUCAAUUUCUUCCAAUAAUGAAUCAAGAAAUCCUGGAGUGGAGAAUCAUUCUGAAAGUAGACCAAAUACAGGACAACACCACAGCAGUGGUUGGAAAAAUGCAGCAGACAAUGAGCAAACCAAGCUGACUUUCAAAAGAUGG